CAGGGUGGCCACCCAGUAAUCAGCACAAGUUAGAAUGUGGGCAACUCGGCAGUCGUUGCGCAAGCACUUUGGUGACUCUAGAUAACCUUGGGCCAAUCGCAUGUCCCCGUGACGGCGACAACGUAUUUAGAUGUCUGCCCUAUCAACUUUCGAUGGUACUUUCUGCGCCUACCAUGGUAACCAUGGGUAACGGGGAAUUAGGGUUCGAUUCCGGAGAGGGAGCCUGAGAAACGGCUACCACAUCCAAGGAAGGUAUCAGGCGCGCAAAUUACCCACUCCCGACGCCGGGAGGUAGUGA